GAACUUAGGUUUUCGAUCUUGAAUUGGAGUUGCUUUUCUCAGAGGUUUCUUAAGAUUUUUGAAUUUGAUUGCACUUUCAGAAGCUUUCUAAAUAAAGCUAGGACUUGUUUUAUUUGUUGGUAUUGGAAAUGGAUAUGGGAUCUCGAGAGGAAGGUGAUAUCAGUGACAGGAAGCAGGCUGAGGUUUCUACUUAGUUGAAUGGAUGUGUUAACGGAUCGAUUCACGACCAUACGAACAGGAGUAAUGUGAAGGCAUGCCUGAACAGGGACAUCAAAGCAAACCCAUGAGAAAGAGUUUAGACAAGUCUGCAUCAUUUCCUUCUCUGUGCCUGCUGAAGAUGAUGAAAUUGUAACUGCAUUGCAGCGAAUGUUCUCAGAGGAUUCCGUGCAGUCUUACUCCCGCACAAUUUUGUUGCCCGUGAGUUAGGCUCCCUUGAAGCUAGUUUCUGCCCUUAAAGGUAGCCGUGAGAAACAGGGAUCGACACCAAAGAAGCUAACCGUGAAAUGGGCACCUGACGUCUACGAUCCUCCACCAACGUCUGUAUUGCAUACAGUUGGAAACAGAAAGCAGCAGAAAUCAAAGAAGAAGAAGAAUGACAAGAAGAAAAAUGGAAAGAAAGGGCAGAAAGGCAACAAUGCAGGACGAGGUAGUGGUGGUGGUAAAGACAACAGCGCUGUGGGGGUGGUGGGAGUUCCGAUAGGAGUUAUAAACCUCAGCCGGAGGUUCAUCAGGAUAGAUUAUCCAACUCCUUAAUCAACCUUGAUGGUUUCAACGUUGGCAGUCCCAACCCUUACUGUGGGAGCAGUUUUCUGA